UACGUAGGGUGCGAGCGUUAAUCGGAAUUACUGGGCGUAAAGCGUGCGCAGGCGGUUCGCCAAAUCAGGUGUGAAAUCCCCGGGCUUAACCUGGGAAUUGCGCUUGAAACUAGCGGGCUUGAGUGUGGCAGAGGGGGGUGGAAUUCCACGUGUAGCAGUGAAAUGCGUAGAGAUGUGGAGGAACACCGAUGGCGAAGGCAGCCCCCUGGGUCAACACUGACGCCUCAUGCACGAAAGCGUGGGGAGCAAACAGG
rnacentral:rRNA from 1 species